GAGUACCUCUUGCCUUGUUUGCUGCCUCUGCCAAAACCCAGCCAACUUCAAGGACCUCGGGGACCUCUGCGGGCCCUACUACCCCGAACACUGCCUCCCCAAAAAGAAGCCAAAACUCAAGGAGAAGGUGCGGCCAGAGGGCACCUGUGAGGAGGCCGCGCUGCCUCUGGAGAGGACACUCAAAGGCCUCGAGUGCCCAGCCGCCACCUCUGCCACCACCGCUGCCGCCACCGGGAAGCCCCCCAGGCCUGACGGCGGCCCAGCUGACCCAGCCAAGCAGGGCUCCCUGCGCACCAGCGCCCGGGGCCUGUCCCGGCGGCUGCAGAGUUGCUACUGCUGUGACGGUCGGGGGGACGGCGGCGAGGAGGCCGCCCCGGCUGACAAGAGCCGCAGGCACGAGUGCAGCAAGGAGCCUCCCGCGGAGGCUGGCGGGGACACCCAGGAGCACUGGGUGCACGAGGCCUGUGCCGUGUGGACAGGCGGGGUUUACCUGGUGGCCGGGAAGCUCUUUGGGCUGCAGGAGGCCAUGAAGGUGGCCGUGGACAGGACUUGUUCCAGCUGCCAAGAAGCCGGGGCCACCAUCGGGUGCUGUCACGAAGGAUGCCUCCACGCCUAUCAUUACCCGUGUGCCAGCGACGCGGGUAAGAGCCAGACGCCGGCACGGGAGGUCGGGGGAGCGGGCACGGCUCCCUGCACCAGCCCUGCCCGAGCCCUCGGCUUCCCUCUCCUGCGCGGCAAUGCUUUUGCUUUCCUUUGUUUUUACGGCCACACCUGCAGCACAUGAAGUUCGCAGGCUGGGCGUCUAAUCAGAACCACAGCUGCCAGCCUACACCACAGCCACAGCCACGCCGGAUCCGAGCCGCCUCUGCGACCCACGCCGCAGCUCAUGGCAACGCCAGAUCCUUAACCCACUGAGCGAGGCCAGGGAUCGAACCCGCAUCCUCACAGAGACAACAUCAGGUUCCUAACUUGCUGAGCCACAAUGACAACUCCGCCCCCGCAGUUCUACCUCCUGUGUCUCCUCGGCCACGCGCCGGAGCAGUGCCCGGAGGCAGGGGCCACAAGGCGGAAGGAGGGGGCUGUCACUGCCAAGGGGCACCUAGAGGUGGGCGGGACCUCGGGCCUCGAAGCGCAGGGCCGCCAGGGCUGGGCCUCGAAGGCUGAACGGGAGCUCACUGGGUUGGAGAAAGAAAGGAAACGAGACACUUCAGUGACGAAAGCCGAGAGGCAAGGAGACGAGGCUCGAGCCAGACGCGCCGGCUGCGGGCAGAGCUGCGGCCGGUCUCCCGCAGGGCGGCGCGGUCUGGAGGCAGGAGCGGCGCCCCCGCGUCUGCCCCAUUCUCCCCUCGCUCACGCGCCUGCUCCGCGGGCGUGUGUCCCGCAGAGAAUGCAGCUGCCCGCGUCCCGGGCACCUUCUUGGCGCGUGGACCGGGCAGGCCCACCACCGUCUCCGCGCCGGGUCCCCAUCCCUAAAACGGAGGGUAUUCGGACUCCUCCUUCCUGCCGCCGUGGGCAGCAGGAGUGAGGUCACCACGCCCCAGAACGGACGGCCCCAGUGCUCUUGGGGGGCGGCCCCCACGGCCGCUGGGCCCCCGCCACCCGCGCCCGCUCUCCUCUGGCCCAUAGGGGGGCCGGCCGCAUAGUGACUCUAGGCCUGAAGACAGAGCAGAGGCAUCCCCCAGCAGGACCCUUCCCCACCCGAGCCUGCUGGGCAGAAGGGACCCCUGGCCCCAACGGAGCUGCUCCCAGGACCACUCGGGACUCUGAGUGACGGCGGUUCCUUGGUGAGGGCCAAGCCACUGUGCCCGGCAGGGAGAGGGCCUGCUCCGGCCCCGGCCUCCUGCCUCCCAGUGUGAGCAGAUCUUAACCUGGACGCAGCCCCUUUGCCAGACACACAGCCCAACUCCCGUAAGAGCUGCCACGCACCGCAGCCGUCCUCCCGCGGUGACCCCGUUGGCACGCACCCUGCCAGCCCUGCGCUGUCUCCAGCCUCAUGUUUACAGACAGGCUGCCCGACCUGUGACCACGGCACCACAGGGACACAACCAGAGUGUGCCUCCCUGCCUGGCUGGUUCCACGUCCUGGGCUCUGUAUACCUCCCAGUAGCGCCCGGGCUGCCAGGGGACUCGCCUCUGAGUGGAGCAGACAGGAAGUCCAUGGUCCUUGCACAAAGCUGUAGAGACCACCAGACAAAGACAAGAGAGCCUGUGCCGCGGGAGAGGCCCAUCCUGAGUUAGGAGGGAAUCCUGGAGGACUUCUAAGAGGAGGUGACAUGGGAGCCAGUCCUCAAGAGUUCAGGGAAGGUGGGCAGCAGCUGGUUUGUGGGGGGACCCGCACAGGCUUGGAGCAACACAAGCUGUCUCCAGUGAGGUCUCUAACCCAUGGAACUUCCCUGGAGUAGGGUCUUGGUGGAGCCGCAGGGGCCGCGAGGAAGUGGGCUGGAGGCUGGGCGGAGGAGCGGAGCUGUGCUGGGGGAACAGGGCGGGGGCCAAGCAGGCCGUCCCACAGCCUGGCAGCUACUGGCCCUUCCAGGCCCAAUCUCAUGGCUUCACCCUCAGCCUCCAUUAGCUCUCAUGCAGGUACUGCCGGCCUGGCCUGGCCUGGCUGAGUUCCCUCAGGGGGCCAAGGUCAGUGGCUGCUGAGACACCCCCUCCCCGCGGCCCCUCCCCUUCAACAGCAGGCCCAGGACUGGCCACGCAGCUGACCAUACCAGGCUCAGGCUGGCAGCAUGGGGAAGGCAAGGCACCUCCUCCCUCACAGGAGGGGUUGCAGAGCCACUUGGGGGGGGGUUCUAGCAUGAGGUGACUGCCUGAGCAGCAAGGAGCAGAGGUUUGGAAGGGCAGCAGCCGUGGCGGGGGCACAGCAGCCAGAGAAGGUGGGAGAACCCAGCCGGCGGGAGCCCCAGGCACCUGUCCCCUAUCAGCGCCUGCGCAAACCUGGGUCUGGACGCGGGGUCCCUGGGGCUCCGCAGGUGUCUGGGCCGGGCUCUCAACCGCGGAGCGCGACCCCUGCGCCUCGCUGCGAGCCGGCACCAGGGCCCACUUUGUCGGCUGGGUCGGCGUUCCGCAGCCGCAGACACGGGGAGAGAGCCCUCCCCCUCCACCCCCAGAGUGGACGCCGGUGGGCGGCUGGGCAACUUGGUUCUGGAAGUGACACCCUCCCCGCCUCCACCCUUGGCGGCGGGGGCUCCGCGCCUGCAGCCCCCGGGCUCGGCCCCGUGCAGCUGGGAAAGUGGGAGCUCAGUCCCGCACUCGCCCGGCCUGCCUGAGCGCAGGCAAGGCCUCCCCUGACAAGCGGGGGCGUCCCAGGCGCGAGGGGGACGACCGUGAAGGGCAGACAGGCCAGGGGGCUGAGGUUCAGCAGGUGGCGUUCGGGUUCUGUCGCAUUUCAAGCAGGGUCUGACUUACUCCGCAAACUGCCCCGCCGCCUGCGGCCUCCGGGGCGGCGCGACCCCCUCCCGGCCUGACGCGACGGCGUCCUGACCGCUCGAACGUCUCUUUGCUCGCAGGUUGCGUCUUCGUCGAAGAGAACUUUUCUUUGAAAUGCCCCAAACAUAAGAGGCUGCCGUUGUAAUCCGCCCUCGGCCGAAGCCCCGGAGCCCGCCUGCCUGCCAGCCGCCGAGGGAGAGGAUUCGCCUGCACAGCCCCCGGGCCUUUGCGCUGCUCCCGGCGCCAGUCCCGAGCCGAUCCCCGAUCCAGACCCCGGAUCUUGGAUCUGGCCGCCUCGGGCGGAAGCUGGUGGUCCCGGGUUGGGAAGAAAACACGUUCCGGGUCCCUUUGCUCCCGGAACCUGACGGCACAGGGCCUUCUCGCCCCCAUCCUCCAGCCAGGCUUGGAGAAGGGGAGCCCGCGGAGUGGCCAGACUCCUGGGGCCAGCCAGGUUCCGGUGGGGGUGGAGGGCCUUGAGCCUGGGGACGCGCCUCUUCCCUGGAAGUUCCAGUAUGACCUGGCACACAUUCCACGUGGGUCGGUGGUGGCACGCAGCUGAGCACCCCGGGGGUGGGCCGGGCUGGGAUCCCAGAGGCCGAGGGCGGCUCCCCUCAAGAGCGUCCCUCCUUGAACGAGGCUGGGGCGCAGGACAGGCCGGAGGCUGUGCGCCCUUCCCGCUCAGCCUUGGCCAAAACCUUCGUGCGGGUCGGGCAGGGCUGGGAGACUGGGGCCCGCGCUCAGGGGAUGCGGGCUUCCCCGGGCGUGGGCAGGACCAGCCCUCGCUGCUUGUGUUCGUUCCCCCUUCCAGUCCGCCCCAUCCC
rnacentral:lncRNA from 1 species